rnacentral:rRNA from 1 species
AUUGAACGCUGGCGGCAUGCUUUACACAUGCAAGUCGAACGGCAGCGCGGACUUCGGUCUGGCGGCGAGUGGCGAACGGGUGAGUAAUAUAUCGGAACGUACCCAAGAGUGGGGGAUAACGUAGCGAAAGUUACGCUAAUACCGCAUACGAUCUAAGGAUGAAAGCAGGGGAUCGCAAGACCUUGUGCUCCUGGAGCGGCCGAUAUCUGAUUAGCUAGUUGGUGAGGUAAUGGCUCACCAAGGCUACGAUCGAUAGGGGGUCUGAGAGGAUGAUCCCCCACACUGGUACUGAGAUACGGACCAGACUCCUACGGGAGGCAGCAGUAGGGAAUAUUGGUCAAUGGGCGCAAGCCUGAACCAGCCAUGCCGCGUGCAGGAAGAAGGCCCUCUGGGUUGUAAACUGCUUUUGAUAGGGAACAAAUGCCACUUGCGAGUGGAGCUGAGUGUACCUAUAGAAUAAGCACCGGCUAACUCCGUGCCAGCAGCCG